UACGGAGGGGGCUAGCGUUAUUCGGAAUUACUGGCGCAGUAACGCGCACGUAGGCGGCUUUGUAAGUAAGAGGUGAAAGCCCGGAGCUCAACUCCGGAACUGCCUUUUAGACUGCAUCGCUUGAAUCCAGGAGAGGUGAGUGGAAUUCCGAGUGUAGAGGUGAAAUUCGUAGAUAUUCGGAAGAACACCAGUGGCGAAGGCGGCUCUCUGGGACGGUACUGACGCUGAGACGCGAAAGCGUGGGGAGCGAACAGG
rnacentral:rRNA from 1 species